UCUCAAUCGGAUCAACUCGGCCGAAUGAACGGGAUUUGCAUUUCUGGCAGCUGGACUCUGUGAAGGAUGCCCUCAUUUGGCAGAACAGAAUUGCUGCUGGUUCUUUCUUUUGUUAUCUUCAGUGGGAUGAGCUACCUCUGGAUCUCCCCCAACUUUACGGCAGAGAAAUUGAUUGUCACCCCAAAGAAAAAGUGGACCCCUCCUACUGGUAUAGUUAAGCCUCCGGCUUCCUGCACAUGCCCAGCGAAGUCAUUCGAUCUGGCAGGGAGCAUUCCCACUGCCAACCGAGCAGACAUUCAGAAACGACGGGCAGAGGAGUACAAGAAGCACCA